AAAUCCGCUUUGAUAAUGCUGGGAUGUGAUGGGGAGCGAAAUUUAGUAGCGAAGUAGCUGAUUUCACACUGUCAAGAAAAGUCUCUAUCGAGGUUAAAGGUACCCGUACCGCAAACCGACACAGGUGGGUGAGGAGAGUAUCCUAAGGCCAGCGAGAGAACUGUUGUUAAGGAACUCGGCAAAAUGACCCCGUAACUUAGGGAUAAGGGGUGCCACCAUCAGGUGGCCGCAGAGAAUAGGCCCAAGCGACUGUUUACCAAAAACAUAGGUUUCUGCUAAGUCGCAAGACGAUGUAUAGGAGCUGACGCCUGCCCGGUGCUGGAAGGUUAAGGGGAUCUGUUAGAGCAAUCGAAGCAGUGAACUUAAGCCCCAGUAAACGGCGGCCGUAACUAUAACGGUCCUAAGGUAGCGAAAUUCCUUGUCGGGUAAGUUCCGACCCGCACGAAAGGCGUAACGAUUUGGGCACUGUCUCAACAACAGACUCGGUGAAAUUGUAAUUCCGGUGAAGAUGCCGGAUACCUGCGACAGGACGGAAAGACCCCAUGGAGCUUUACUGUAGCUUGACAUUGGGUCUUGGUACUACAUGUACAGGAUAGGUGGGAGGCUUUGAAACCAGGACGCCAGUUUUGGCGGAGCCAUCCUUGGGAUACCACCCUUGUAGUACUGGGACUCUAACCAUAGGCCAUGAAUCUGGUCUUGGGACACUGUCAGGUGGGCAGUUUGACUGGGGCGGUCGCCUCCCAAAAGGUAACGGAGGCGCUCAAAGGUUCUCUCAGUACGGUCGGAAAUCGUACGUAGAGUGUAAAGGCAAAAGAGAGCUUGAUUGCAAGACAUACAGGUCGAGCAAGGAUGAAAAUCGGACUUAGUGAUCCGGUGGUUCUGCGUGGAAGGGCCAUCGCUCAACGGAUAAAAGCUACCCUGGGGAUAACAGGCUUAUCUCCCCCAAGAGUCCACAUCGACGGGGAGGUUUGGCACCUCGAUGUCGGCUCAUCACAUCCUGGGGCUGUAGUAGGUCCCAAGGGUUGGGCUGUUCGCCCAUUAAAGUGGUACGCGAGCUGGGUUCAGAACGUCGUGAGACAGUUCGGUCCCUAUCCGUCGCAGGCGUAGGAAAUUUGAGAAGACCUGUCCUUAGUACGAGAGGACCGGGAUGGACGUACCUCUGGUGUACCAGUUGUUCUGCCAAGGGCAUGGCUGGGUAGCUAUGUACGGAAUGGAUAAGCGCUGAAAGCAUCUAAGCGCGAAGCCAACUUCAAGAUAAGAUUUCCCACCGCAAGGG
rnacentral:rRNA from 1 species